rnacentral:lncRNA from 1 species
CGGCCCUCUCCUCUUCUUCUCUUCUUUUCUUCUCCUUCACUCACCGGCCGAAAAUAAACUUGAGGACCUUAUAAUGGUCCCCAAACACACAAAAAACAAAUUAACUCAGCAUGCAUCCAUCCCAUCGCCUGCGAUGCCGCUUCUGCCAGCUCCUCCACCAGUGCCGCCUGCGCCAGCUCUUCCACCAGUGCUGCCUCUUCCCUAAGCGUGACUCGUGUCCUGUCCCAUCAUGUCAGCGGGUCGAUUUUCGGGUCCAAUUUUUACUGUAUGCGACCUGUAUUUGACCCGUAUUUUUACAUGUGUGCCGCCUGUCCCUAUCCCUCCACUACUAAAAUAAUAUUUUUUUAACUGAUUAGUGUCAGAAAGCGGCACCACUCUCCACCCAUCUAAAUAUACCAUUUUGGUGCAUAUUGUUUUAACAUACCAUUUUAGUAUUUUUUUAAAAUAAUUUUUCGGUAAAAAACCCCAUUCAACAAAUGAAUAACAAAGUCUCAAUAAAGUAAAUACAAUAUGGGAGAUUUUUUUAUCUAAUAAAAUUAAAUAAAUUAAUCUUUAUAUAUUAGAUUAAAGAGUAAAUUAAUUUUUUUAUUAAAAUUUUUAUCCAUUUUUAUUAUUAAAAUCGGGCUAUUGUACGUUAACAUAAAACAUACGUGGCAUGUCAUGUUUUAUUGCUUGAUUAUUCUGUCAUCUAUAUCAAUUUUUAAUAGUACAAAGGAAUAAAAUUUUUAAUAAAUAAAACAAAAUAUAAUUUCACUCCUAACACCAGAAUAAAGAGUUGAACUGAUUAGAUAAAGCUAAAAAAUUAAUUAAAUUAACUGUUAAAUAGUUUUCUUUUAUUUUUAAUUUUUUGAGAAUUUAUUUAAUUAAAAAGAAUAAACCACAAAUAAAUCAACAUAAACCAGUGGUACUCUUAAAAAAUUGACCCUCAUCAAAUCCAAUCAAAAUUCAAUGCAAUAAAAAGGAAAAGGAAAAGGAAAAGGAAAAAACGAACCUCAUAACUCACUCCAUCUUCUUCUUCCCCCCUCGUC